rnacentral:tRNA from 11 species
CGCGGGAUAGAGCAGUUGGUCAGCUCGUCAGGCUCAUAAUCUGAAGGUCGAGGGUUCAAAUCCCUCUCCCGCAACCA